GAGAGCCGUAUGAUAGGAAACUAUCGCGUACGGUUCGGGAAAGAGCCACGUACAGGUAAAAGGUGCGGAGCGUUUAGUUCAUUCUUAUUUAAU
rnacentral:ncRNA from 1 species